rnacentral:rRNA from 1 species
UACGAAGGGGGCUAGCGUUGUUCGGAAUUACUGGGCGUAAAGGGCGCGUAGGCGGUGUGUCAAGUCAGGCGUGAAAGCCCCGGGCUCAACCUGGGAACAGCGCUUGAGACUGGCACGCUCGAGUUCGGGAGAGGAUGGUGGAAUUCCCAGUGUAGAGGUGAAAUUCGUAGAUAUUGGGAAGAACACCGAUGGCGAAGGCAGCCACCUGGACCGACACUGACGCUGAGGCGCGAAAGCGUGGGGAGCAAACAGG